GAGCCAGGGUGGCUUCCCUCCGAACCAGAGGGUAAAGAGCCACCCUCUCAGCCUGAGUGGGCAGGGUCAGACCAAGCUUACUCCAACUCCCGGAAGGGGAGGGGUGGAACAGGAAGUACAAGGGGUGGGGCCCUUUGCCCAGUGAGAGCAGCACCAGAGAGGGAGACAGACACAGGCUGCUGGCUGUUCCCUCCGGACCCUGCUGCUGACCCAGGGGAGGCCCUGGGCCAGGAGAAACCUGACCUGGAGGAAGGACUGAGGCAACCAGGACUGCCAGCUGCCGAGUACCUGGAGGGGCCAGGCUGUAACCCGGGCCAGCGUGAGCCUGACACAAAGGGGGAGCUGGAGCUGCCAGCAGCUGAAUACCCGGAUGAGCUGGAGGGACUGGAGAGGCCCGCUUGAGAGACCGGGAUCCCAAUGAAGGCAUCAUUCUACCAUGUUUCACUUGAUGUCAGAAUCGACUUCCACCUCCAGGUGGAAUCUUUAUGGGGUGAUUAAAGACUGGAAGAGUUAUGCAGAGGGUUUUAUUAUAAAGCCAGAAAUCAUUUGGUUGACAUUAAUGGGAAAGUCUAUCUUUUGGAGAGGUCCACAUUCCUGGAUGCUAUUUCCUGCUCUCAAGGUUCUCUAAUGCAAUGAACCUAAAUAUAUGAACUCUCCAGAGUCUAACAUCAGACUUUUGUUUGGACCUUCAGCUCACUUGCACCAGCCUGACAGGAGAGAUGGGAAUUACUUUUCUUCUCUCAUGCUUCAGAAACGUGUAUAUGAGAUGAGUUGCCUAAGGGCUACAUUCUUUUUAAAUACUAGUGCUAAGUGUUUUAGAUAGAGGUGCUCCUGUUUUAUUUAACAGUAUUUGUGCCAUUCAGCUUCGAAAUGUAUUGUGUUAAUCAGAUGUCACCGUGUUUUUCCCUAAAUUCCAAAGGAAUUUAAAAAAAAAAACAAAUGAUACGUUGUUUAAAUACAGAAUCUUGCUAUUCUCGCCCCUCAGGGGAAGGAAACGUGCCUGUUGUAGCAGCAACAGGAGGCAAUUACCUCUUGCACCCUGGCCAGUCACUGC